rnacentral:rRNA from 1 species
AGAAUCAACGCUGGCGGCGUGCCUAACACAUGCAAGUCGCACGAGAAAGGGGCUUCGGCCCUGAGUAAAGUGGCGCACGGGUGAGUAACACGUGAAUUAUCUACCUCCGAGUGGGGAAUAACUGAGAGAAAUCUUAGCUAAUACCGCAUAACACUUACGAGUCAAAGCAGCAAUGCGCUUGGAGAGGAGUUCGCGGCCGAUUAGUUAGUUGGCGGGGUAAUGGCCCACCAAGACGAUGAU